GCUGGGCGUGGUGGCGCAUGCCUGUAAUCCCAGCUACUCAGGAGGCUGAGGCAGGAGAAUCGCUUGAACCCAGGAGGUGGAGGUUGCAGUGAGCCUAGAUCGCACCACUGCACCACUCCAGCCUGGGUGACAGAGCGAUCCUGCAUCUG
rnacentral:SRP_RNA from 1 species